GAGGCUAUUUGUGUGUGGAAAACCAUACAGUUAGCCAUUGUUAGCAAUUAGCUAGAGUUACGUAGCUCUAUCAACCAAUUCCUUUCUCCAACGUGAAUUAAAGACCCCCUGCGGCUCUGGGGCCGGGGGCCGAGGGUGGAACGGCUCGUGACAAUACUCGCUGCAACUCCUCCGCUGAGAAGUCUUCCAGUCCCAGGAACCAAAAUACAAGUCUGUAUCAUGUGAGAAUGUGAGCAUACCGCAUACCUAGAUGCGCAACUGAGGGACUUAGUAAUACAUUGAAAAAAAACUCUUACCCCAGGACACUUCACAGGAUGAUAAUAAAAUAAUCAGCUAAAGAUUUGUUCCCCUGUGUACAUCUCAACCCACAAUUUCUCCCUGUUGUGGACACUCAUAUGUCUGAUAAGGUUACUCAGGAAAGAGAAGCUCUUGUAACACAGCUUACACUUGAAGGGCCUCUCCUUGAUGUGAAUGGUCUGGUGCUUCGUCACAUAGUUCACCUGGGAAAAGUGCUUUCCACACGUGGGGCAGUUGUUCACCACUUCUUGUGGUGACACCCAUCUGUAUUGGUGGGGUAACCCUGAGGUAACUGAGGAAGGCUAGAGCCAGGUCCAGGCCUUCUAUGAACCCAGUCACCAGGCAUUAGACAAGACCCUGAAGGAGAAGACAGACUUCCUGAUAGACUACCACCAGGGGGAUCUUCCACCACGAUCUGAAGGCUGAAGCCCAGGGUGACCUGCUCUGUUCGUCAUGGAUACUGAGGUGUUUGUUUGUUCGUAUCAUAGGAACGGGAGGGACUAUCUCUAUCAGCUCCGGGACCUGCUCCAUCCCUGCACUGAGACUGUGAAGAGAAGGGUCUGUUCUGCAGACUGGAUCCCUGACUGGAACCUCUGUCUCUCUGAUGACGACCAAGACUGAAGAUGUUCAGUCUACCUGUCCACUGGUUGUGUUCUGUGUGGUGGUGAUGGAGAGUGUCUGUAUCUCGUAGUUCGGUCCUGGUUCCGACUCCGGAAGGAACAGCGACGACUCCUGAUCCGGGGCCAUUGUUUGUCACCAGCCGCUUCAGGGAUCCUGUCACUGCCCUAAAAACGAAUUGUACCGAAGAGCAUAUAAAGGUUUCUAAGUCUUUGCUGAACAUGACCUAUUAUAAAAUGUCAAGCCCAUCUCUAACAAUGUGAUUAAAGUACCUAACAAUA